GAUGAACGCUGGCGGCGUGCCUAAUACAUGCAAGUCGAGCGGACGGACGAGACGCUUGCUUUUCUGAUGUUAGCGGCGCACGGGUGAGUAACACGUGGAUAACCUACCUCUCAUACUGGGAUAACUUCGGGAAACCGGAGCUAAUACCGGAUAAUCUUUUGAACCGCAUUGUUCCAUAGAGAGAGACGGUCUUGCUGUCACUUCUAGCUGGAUCCGCGCUGCAUUAGCUAGUUGGUAAGGUACAGGCUUACCAAGGCAACGAUGCAUAGCCGACCGCAGAGGGUGAUCGGCCACACUGGAACGGGGCCACGGUCAAGACUCCUACGGGAGGCAGCAGUAGGGAAUCGUCCGCAAUGGGCGAAAGCCUGACGGAGCAACGCCGCGUGAGUGAUGAAGGUCUUCGGAUCGUAAAACUCUGUUAUUAGGGAAGAACAUAUGUGUAAGUAACUGUGCACAGCUUGACGGUAACUAAUCAGAAAGCAACGGCUAACUACGUG
rnacentral:rRNA from 1 species